rnacentral:rRNA from 1 species
GACGAACGCUGGCGGCGUGCUUAACACGUGCAAGUCGAACGGAAAGGCCCUGCUUUUGUGGGGUGCUCGAGUGGCGAACGGGUGAGUAACACGUGAGUAACCUGCCCUUGACUUUGGGAUAACUUCAGGAAACUGGGGCUAAUACCGGAUAGGAGCUCCUGCUGCAUGGUGGGGGUUGGAAAGUUUCGGCGGUUGGGGAUGGACUCGCGGCUUAUCAGCUUGUUGGUGGGGUAGUGGCUUACCAAGGCUUUGACGGGUAGCCGGCCUGAGAGGGUGACCGGCCACAUUGGGACUGAGAUACGGCCCAGACUCCUACGGGAGGCAGCAGUGGGGAAUAUUGCACAAUGGGCGGAAGCCUGAUGCAGCAACGCCGCGUGCGGGAUGACGGCCUUCGGGUUGUAAACCGCUUUCGCCUGUGACGAAGCGUGAGUGACGGUAAUGGGCAAAGAAGCACCGGCUAACUACGU